rnacentral:rRNA from 1 species
UUUUAACGCUGAGGUGUGAUGACGAGGCACUACGGUGCUGAAGUAACAAAUGCCCUGCUUCCAGGAAAAGCCUCUAAGCAUCAGGUAACAUUAAAUCGUACCCCAAACCGACACAGGUGGUCAGGUAGAGAAUACCAAGGCGCUUGAGAGAACUCGGGUGAAGGAACUAGGCAAAAUGGUGCCGUAACUUCGGGAGAAGGCACG